GCUCCGGCGGUGAAGGAUGAGCCCGCGGCCUAUCAGCUUGUUGGUGGGGUAAUGGCCCACCAAGGCGACGACGGGUAGCCGGCCUGAGAGGGCGACCGGCCACACUGGGACUGAGACACGGCCCAGACUCCUACGGGAGGCAGCAGUGGGGAAUAUUGCACAAUGGGCGAAAGCCUGAUGCAGCGACGCCGCGUGAGGGAUGACGGCCUUCGGGUUGUAAACCUCUUUCAGCAGGGAAGAAGCGAAAGUGACGGUACCUGCAGAAGAAGCGCCGGCUAACUACGUGCCAGCAGCCGCGGUAAUACGUAGGGCGCAAGCGUUGUCCGGAAUUAUUGGGCGUAAAGAGCUCGUAGGCGGCUUGUCACGUCGGAUGUGAAAGCCCGAGGCUUAACCUCGGGUCUGCAUUCGAUACGGGCUAGCUAGAGUGUGGUAGGGGAGAUCGGAAUUCCUGGUGUAGCGGUGAAAUGCGCAGAUAUCAGGAGGAACACCGGUGGCGAAGG
rnacentral:rRNA from 1 species